rnacentral:rRNA from 1 species
GAUGAACGCUGGCGGCGUGCCUAAUACAUGCAAGUCGAGCGAACGGACGAGAAGCUUGCUUCUUUGAUGUUAGCGGCGGACGGGUGAGUAACACGUGGAUCACCUGCCUAUAUGACUGGGAUAACUUCGGGAAACCGUAGCUAAUACUGGAUAAUAUUUUGAACCGCGUGGUUCAAAAGUGAAAGACGGUCUUGCUGUCUCAUAUAGCUGGUUUCGCGCUGCAUUAGCUAGUUGGUAGGGUACCGGCUUACCAAGGCUACGAUGCAUAGCCGACCUGAGAGGGGGAUCGGCCACACUGGAACUGAGACACGGUCCAGACUCCUACGGGAGGCAGCAGUAGGGAAUAUUACGCAAUGGGCGAAAGCCUGACGCAGCAACGCCGCGUGAGUGAUGAAGGUCUUCGGAUCGUAAAACUCUGUUGUUAGGGAAGAACAGAUGUGUAAGUAACUGUGCACAUCGUGACGGUACCUAAUCAAAAAGCCACGGCUAACUACGUG